rnacentral:rRNA from 1 species
AUUGAACGCUGGCGGCAGGCCUAACACAUGCAAGUCGAACGGUAGCACAGAGAGCUUGCUCUCGGGUGACGAGUGGCGGACGGGUGAGUAAUGUCUGGGAAACUGCCCGAUGGAGGGGGAUAACUACUGGAAACGGUAGCUAAUACCGCAUAACGUCGCAAGACCAAAGUGGGGGACCUUCGGGCCUCACACCAUCGGAUGUGCCAAGAUGGGAUUAGCUAGUAGGUGGGGUAAUGGCUCACCUAGGCGACGAUCCCUAGCUGGUCUGAGAGGAUGACCAGCCACACUGGAACUGAGACACGGUCCAGACUCCUACGGGAGGCAGCAGUGGGGAAUAUUGCACAAUGGGCGCAAGCCUGAUGCAGCCAUGCCGCGUGUAUGAAGAAGGCUUUCGGGUUGUAAGGUACUUUCAGCGGGGAGGAAGGCGGUGAAGUUAAUAGCUUCACCGAUUGACGUUACCCGCAGAAGAAGCACCGGCUAACUCCGUGCCAGCAGCCGCCGUAA